ensembl:lncRNA
CCAUAAACAUCUUGAAUAGAAGGUGGAAUAUUAAAACCAGGGUAAGUCUCCCAGUGUUAGGCCUUAGUCCAGGGUUUAGGAGUCAGGGUUCGACUAGCUUAGUCUAGCCUACAGUAGUAGACGAUGGCUACAAGACGCCUAACCUUGAGUAUAUGUGAACAACGCUUUGUGAACAGUAAUUCAUUUUCCUUUACACUUGGGGCUUAGGUAUCAGGGAGGUUGGAGCUGGCUGAGGCCCAACCCUGGCUCUCGCACAAUAGUGCCCGGCAAGACGUGAAUUACAACUCGGAUGGAAUGUAGGAAAAGAAGACAAAUAAAUGAAUCACCCCGGGGGAACCAGUCUGACAGGGUUGCCACGUUGGACAGGCUUGCUGCCUGCCCACAGACCCAGCAGCAGAAGCUCGACACCGACGACAAACUCUGUGAAACGCGGAUCUGUGUACUGCUAGGAUGGCGUCGACCGGCCCUUAAUUGAUCAGGAUCCAUUCAUUGAAACGCCUGCGCGUGGCGGACUGCGACCUGUCUGCGUUGCCAGGGUAACUGGAUGGAGAGGCGGUGGGAUGAGUUAAAGAAGGCACCAAGAGACGAGGCAGUGAGCAGGUGGAGGCGCCAUUGCACACUUCUCUCGGACUGGCUGAAGUGGCGUGGAGGAUACUGUGCUCCGGAUGCCUUUUAGCAGGCCUGGGAGCUUGUGCCAUGCUCUUGAAGAAGAGCCUGGGGCGCAGUGGAAAGGCGAUGGGGCUUUGCUCAGAAUCGGUGGCAGAUCAGAAAAACACAUUUUUCGUGGGUCUCGAAGGAGCCGUCCCUACCAGGCGGAGGAGUCUCCCUGGCACGGGCCCUUACAGACAGCCUGCUGCUCUGUGUUCUCCAGGAGUCCCUCUCCCACCCCACCCUGCCCCACGUAGAGGCUCUCCUGGCCAGGCUCAAGAGGGUGUCCCGGACCCUUCAGGGGGCUGAAGGUCUCCCAGCGGCCGGGUCGGACUGUGAGGCCCUCGCGCUGGUGGAGAGAGUGAAGGCCCUCAACACAUACCUGCAUCAGAGGACAAGGACGCUUGGCGGUCUGGUACGGGCGCAGGGGGAGUUUGAGGCGGACGUGGAGGGCCUGCUGGGGGGUCUGGAGCUCCUCUGGACCCAGCUGGAGGAGCUCCACACCAGGGUCACGCUCACCAAGGACUGGAGCCAGGGCCAGGGGGAUCUGGCCAGCACCAAGGCUGAGGCAGAGUUUGUGUCCAGGAUGGUGGGUCAGUACCGGACCAGACUUCAGCUCUGUCAGAACCACCAGAGGGAAACCACUGAGUUGCUGCAGGAGCUGACCUGGACUCACAUAACCAUGAGCGCUCACGUUAGCGACAGCUGCAGCAACGAGUCAGUCUGGACGGAGCUGUUACUACAGUCCAACAUCGAGCAGUUUGACAAGGUCCAGGAGAACUUCCUGUCUGUGGACCAGCAGACCUCUACCUUCCAGGCCCACCUGGACGGGCUGGAACGGGGGGCUCCUGACGGACAAGCCACUGGUCCCCCAACCUGUUCCUCCUCCUCCUCUUCCUCCUCCAGUGCUGCCGGUCGGAUUGGCCCCCGCCACGUUGAGCCCGCCCCUGCCUCCGACACUGUCUCCUCAUUGGACGAAUCCAACCAGGCUUUCCCCUCCUUGGGCGAGGAUAUCGCCCAAACCCUCUGCGAGAGGUCGGCCCUUCAGUUCUCCUCCGCCUUUGGACGCCUUCGGAAAUCUGGAAAGAAGAAAUGAUUCUUAUUUUAUGUUAUUUAAAAAUGUUGCUCUACGGCUUGCGUCAGAGUUACUUAUAUGCGUGUAGCAUUUUCAAGUGUUGAUCGUUUGACUUUUGCUGUUUACUUGUAUUGCAUGUAUUUAUUUGUAACUUUUCAAAGUUUUAUUUUAAUGCAUGAUUGUUAUGAUGCGUCGUCUUCGAAUUAUUAAUUAUUAAUGAAUCACUUUGCAAAACAAAUUAUGUUGUACCGCUGCUUAUCUUUUAGCCUGGUUUAUUACAAAUCGGAUGCCCUCAGAGAAUGAAUGAUUAAACUGUCAGACACAAGGGGGCGUCACACCACCAGGGAUCCGUGCAGUCACCUGCUCAACCAUCACCAUAAAGACAACACGUCUCAUUCAAUACAUCCAGACGCUUCUCUUCAUUUAGUUUCAUGAGGAGAUAGCCAGGUUGUCUGUUCUGUCUGGCUGUUCACCAUAUGGUCUAUAAACACAUUCCUGCACAUGAUUUAACCAUUUUCUGCCAAAGCCCUUUUCUUCCUUUAACUAUUUUCCAAGUUUUAUUGAGGGUCAUCUCAUAUUUUUCUGGUAUGAGACUAAUUCAAUGAGAAAUGUUUUCUAAACUUGAAGCGCAUGAUGAAAAGUGUAUAUGCAAUUCCCCCCCCUCCUCCCCCCCAGUCUUUCAUUUGCUGCUCGCUUUGAACCCUUAUCCAGUGUGACAGAGCUACUUUAGCAGUUAGCUGCAAGCUAAAUGGAUUCCUAUAUGUCCAUGAUUUUAAUAAAAAGGCCCCAACGUCCGAAAGCCUGGAGGGGGAAAAACAUAGAAGUUUUAAGCAAUACCAGACAUUUCCUCGCCCCCCUCCUCCCCUUCCCCAGUCCUGUCUCCCUUUAUCAGAGGCAGUGGACGACAUGAUUUGAGAGCUUCAAAGCAGGGAUUUAAGGUUGGAG